UCAAGGUCAUCUAGCGCCUCAAGCAUUUUGCAAAAUGGGUUCUGUGGGAUGUUACCAUGGAUAUAAGAGGGACAGUGUUUCCAUGGUCAACGCUAGCUUAAAUGAAGUCACAGAAGCUUCUUCUCCACAGGACUUCUUGGAGGUGUUCAUAUAGGAGAUGAAGGAACCUUUUGUUCCGGGAACAUCUGAGACUUACAGAACAUCCCGUGAAAACCCUGAUCUAGUUCUUGCUCUGCAGACAGCGCCAGCCUCAUGGCAAGCAACCGCACAGUCACAGGACCCAGGAUGUCACCGUCGUGAAACUCUUAGUAUCACAUUUGAUGGGAAGAAACAACAUUUCACUUCAAACUGCAAUGCAGGAGAUUCCUGGGUUGGCAAGAUCCCCUGCGGAAGAGAAC